rnacentral:rRNA from 1 species
UGAACGCUAGCGGCAGGCUAACACAUGCAAGUCGAGGGGCAGCGCGUGUAGCAAUACGAUGGCGGCGACCGGCGCAAGGGUGCGUAACGCGUGAGCAACAUGCCCGCAACAGAGGGAUAACCGGAGGAAACUCCGACUAAUACCUCAUAAGGAUGUAGGACGGCAUCGUCCAGCAUCUAAACUUACGAGGGUUGCGGAUUGGCUCGCGAGACAUUAGGUAGACGGCGGGGUAACGGCCCACCGUGCCGACGAUGUCUAGGGGUUCUGAGAGGAAGGUCCCCCACACUGGAACUGAGACACGGUCCAGACUCCUACGGGAGGCAGCAGUGAGGAAUAUUGGACAAUGGUCGGAAGACUGAUCCAGCCAUGCCGCGUGCAGGAAAGACGGUCCUAUGGAUUGUAAACUGCUUUUGUACGGGAGCAAUAAGGGUGUCGUGACAUCCGAUGAGAGUACCGUACGAAUAAGCAUCGGCUAACUCCGUGCCAGCCGCAGC